CAACAAAACCCGCGCCAACUCGGAUGUGGGAACACUGAUUACCGGUCCUUUCCCCUUUCCUAGGUUUCACAAGGCUCUUGGGAACAUCUCCACCCCCGAACGCUAGUCAUUGGAGAGACCCGAGCUUGUGCGUAAAAGAGGAUCAGUAAAGUCCCAGUUGCCUGCCAUUCAGGGCCACCAGAGCCUGGGCAACAAGGGACGAUCUCUGAUGUAUGACCAGAGGCCCCGUGUGGAUAAUGCCACCAGCAUGGCUUUAAGUCCCACCCAGGGAAGCCACAUCAAGACGGGCCUCCCUCCUCACCGGGUUCCCGACAACGAGGAGUGUUCUGCCCCACCCUGGGCCAGAGUUGUCCCGGGUACUAGGAAGAUGGGGUUUGGCGCUGGCUGCCGGUGUACCUGCCUGACUGCUCCAGAUGUGGAAUGGCUCAGCAGUUUGAAGACAAAGAUCCGGAAGGGCUCCUGGCUGCUCCCGGGGCCAAGGUUUCAGGCCUGACUGGCAGGAACUGCUAUCAGUGAAUUCAUGGUGCUGGAUGCCGCCUUGAGUCGCCUUUUAGCCCGAGAAACCUCGCGACUUUGUGACCAUAGAGGAGCUAGCAGCUCCCGGCAAAGAUCAGCUCCCUCUAGAGGAAGUCCUUGAUGACCGCCGGAUGCAGACGCGCACGGAGGGAGGCUGCAGCUGGGAGGAAGGUGGGCCUGGCCUAGAAGUUGCUCCUCCGCAGCCUCCCUUGCUUCCCUACAGAAGGGAAAGAGCUUUCGGUUUUCUUCUUCUCCUGUCUCUGACAGGAGGCCUCCUCUUCCCAUCUUCUCCCUCUAGUGAGACUCAAAGCACGACGUCAACGUCCACGACAAAAACCGGGAUGGAGCUGAGGGCCUUCAAAGAGGUUGAGGCUGGAGGAUCAUGAAAUAGAGGCCAGCCUGUGCUACAUAAUACCCUGGAAGAAAGGAGGAGGAGGAGGAGGAGGAAGAGGGGUGUGGGGGGGUGGGGCUCAGGAUCUGUGCUUUCCUCGACCCCUGCAAGCUGCCAGGCUUCAGGGACUGAUCUCAAACCCAGAAUAAACAGGAGUCCGUGGACAGACAGGA